rnacentral:rRNA from 1 species
UACGUAGGCAGCGAGCGUUGUUCGGAGUUACUGGGCGUAAAGGGUGUGUAGGCGGUUUUCUAAGUUUGGUGUGAAAUCUCCCGGCUCAACUGGGAGGGUGCGCCGAAUACUGAAUGACUAGAGUGCGGGAGAGGAAAGUGGAAUUCCUGGUGUAGCGGUGAAAUGCGUAGAUAUCAGGAGGAACACCGGUGGUGUAGACGGCUUUCUGGACCGUAACUGACGCUGAGACACGAAAGCGUGGGUAGCAAACAGG